rnacentral:miRNA from 14 species
CGAGAAUUUCGAGGCCUGAAUG